rnacentral:rRNA from 1 species
UACGUAGGUGACCAGCGUUGUCCGGAUUUAUUGGGCGUAAAGAGCUCGUAGGCGGUUCGGUAAGUCGGGUGUGAAACCUCCAGGCUCAACCUGGAGACGCCACCCGAUACUGCUGUGACUAGAGUCCGGUAGGGGAGCGUGGAAUUCCUGGUGUAGCGGUGAAAUGCGCAGAUAUCAGGAGGAACACCAGCGGCGAAGGCGGCGCUCUGGGCCGGAACUGACGCUGAGGAGCGAAAGCGUGGGGAGCAAACAGG